rnacentral:misc_RNA from 1 species
GUUGAUGCUUAUGAGUUGAAGGUAAUAUAUCCAUUCAACAAACAGGUGCAUGUCCAUACAGAUGUAUGACUUUCUUUAUAGCUGUAGUUGAACUUUCCUCACAAAAGAUGGUUUAUUUUUUUCUGUCCUCUUAUUUCCCUUUUUCUUUACCCCAGGUUUAAAUCCCUUUUCAUUUUCAUUUAACUUGCAGGUCAGACUAGAGCACAUCCUU